rnacentral:rRNA from 1 species
AUGGUCGUGCACUACGAAAGAUCAUCCGCAGCACCACCACGCCUAAUAACUACUAUUACUUUAAUGUCCACUUUUCUAUGGGUUCCCUUUUCCCACACAUGGAUGCUGGCCACGGUGAACUUCCAAUCACAACUGGAGACGGAACAACCACUGUCACGGCCCGCUUUAUCAAGGGAGUUGACAAAAGGGCCACCAUCACUAAAGGCUGGAGCGACUUCUUCCGUCGGACCCACAUGA